GCUUUCCUGCAGAUGUCGUUGAGGAAAAUGAAAGCGGUCGUGGCCUGGACUGGCGCAGCUCCCGUAGCAGGCGAGGGGCGCAGAAUGCAGCGGCGGCCGGCCUGGAGCGCGGGCCCUGCACCGGGCGAGAUGGCAGCACACCCUGGCCCACCUGGCAGUCCCUAAGGAUGGACAGCAGAGAAACAAGAAAAUGGACUCCCUGGCUGCUGGAGAGUUGAAUGCCAGCCACCAGCCAUGAGUGCCAGAGUUCGUAGCUUAUUGGAGGAAAACAACAUCAAGCCCUGAACAGCACAGAAUGGACAGGGCAGCAGACUGAGCUCUGCCCCACGCCGGCCCUGUUUCAGAACAGCACUCCAGAGCCGCACUGCUUGCUGAACCACAGCUGUUACCACAGAUUGAGGAGCCUCAGAGGAAACAGAAGAUAAAGAUCAUUAUGGAAUUUAGGAUUGCAGGACAUUCUUUGACAUGUCAUAACAGCGAGGGAAGAUCAACUGUGGUUAGGGGAACAGGGGCAGGAAGAAACCAUGGCCAAGGCCUGUCUGGUAGGACUUGAAGGGGCAGAGGGACCCCUGCAAAUGACCCUGCCUGGGACCCAGCCACACCUGGCCCCUGUACAGCACUGAUUCAGGUGGGGCUUUUAUCCCAGGAGCCCCUCUUGAGGGAGGCCUGUAUUUUUUGAUUGUCUGCCAUAUGCCUGGUCCCUGUAGAAUGCAAGGAAGAAAAUGGCCUUCAGCAGAGGCUGAGACAGGAGCCUACAGGAUGCACAGUAAGUAGGAGUCCAAGACUCAGGAGGAGGCUUUCCUGACUCUCUCUCCCAGGGGACUGACGUUCUCUACUGACACAGACCUAGUGUCUGGGUGACAGUUGUUGAAAUAAGUGUCAAGUGAGCAAGUGUGCAGAGCGUACGCUGUACAAAGUAAGGUCUCUGUAGGAUCCUGCCGGACAGGCAGUCCACUGGGUCACUGCUUCUCCAGAGAAGGGACUGGUUGCUGCCAGCUGGAGCAGGCUUCCUCAGGGGUGUGUGGGGCUGUUGCCCACUGGCCCCUCUUGGGAAAAGCAACCUGUCAGGUGUUAAAGACAGUCUCCUUUCUCUUCUCUAAGCUAAACAUGACAAGUUUACAUUUCAUCAUCUUCUGGCCCUCAGCAGAGGUUAUCCAGUCUGGAGAGGCAACAGUAGUAUCCAGAUGUGAUCUUUACAGGCAGAACCAUGGAUGCAGAUGGGAAAUUCAGGUUUAUGUGCUUCAGCAGUCAGUAUAUGCAAGUUGUAACAGGGACAGUGGCUGACAUGGCCUCCAGCACUGUGGGAAGGAUCAGGGUUUCUAAUAAUCAUUUUUCUU